CUAGUAUUGGGAGUCUUAGUGAGGAUUGGUCUUCCGAAUCAUCUUCCUCUUUGGGAGAAGCUCCUAUUGAUUCAAGCACAAGGCACAGUAUUGCGCUGUCCUUUCUGCCCAGUACGAUCGGAUCCAUAUUGGGUCCGAAAGACCUGAGUCUCAUCCAUGCCCAAUAUAGGAUCCCGUCUUCAUAUGAACUAGAACUCCA
rnacentral:lncRNA from 1 species